UUUUAAGCAUGCAAGUCGAACGGGAACCUUGUCUUCGGACGAGGGGAUAGUGGCGAACGGGUGAGUAACACGUAGGUGAUCUGUCCUUGGAGUGGGGGAUAGCCCAUGGAAACAUGGGGUAAUACCGCAUGAGGUCUUGGAACUAUGGUUCUUAGAUGAAAGGAGCAAAUGUUCCGCUUUGGGAUGAGCCUGCGGUCCAUUAGCUAGUUGGUAGGGUAAAGGCCUACCAAGGCUACGAUGGAUAGCCGGCCUGAGAGGGUGAACGGUCACACUGGGACUGAGACACGGCCCAGACUCCUACGGGAGGCAGCAGCUAAGAAUCUUCCGCAAUGGGGGAAACCCUGACGGAGCGACGCCGCGUGGACGAUGAAGGCCUAGAGGUUGUAAAGUCCUUUUGCAGACGAUGAAUAAGGCAAGGAGUGGAACGCCUUGCUGAUGACGUUAGUCUUGCGAAUAAGCCCCGGCCAAUUACGUGCCAGCAGCCGCGGUAACACGUAUGGGGCGAGCGUUGUUCGGAAUUAUUGGGCGUAAAGGGCGCGUAGGCGGUGCUAUAAGCUUGGUGUGAAAUCCCCCGGCCUAACUGGGGAAUAGCGCUGAGAACUGUAGUGCUUGAGUUCUGGAGAGGAAGCUGGAAUUCCUGGUGUAGGGGUGAAAUCUGUAGAUAUCAGGAAGAACACCGGUGGCGAAGGCGGGCUUCUGGCCAGAAACUGACGCUGAGGCGCGAAAGCGUGGGGAGCGAACAGGAUUAGAUACCCUGGUAGUCCACGCUGUAAACGAUGUGCACUGGGUGUCGGGGCUUUAAUGGGUCUCGGUGCCGUAGUUAACGCGAUAAGUGCACCGCCUGGGGAGUAUGCUCGCAAGGGUGAAACUCAAAGGAAUUGACGGGGGCCCGCACAAGCGGUGGAGCAUGUGGUUUAAUUCGAUAAUACGCGAAGAACCUUACCUAGCCUUGACAUAUUUAAGAACACUUUAGAGAUAGAGUGGUGCCUUCGGGAGCUUUUAUGCAGGUGCUGCACGGCUGUCGUCAGCUCGUGUCGUGAGAUGUUGGGUUAAGUCCCGCAACGAGCGCAACCCUCGUCACUAGUUACUAACGGUUCGGCCGAGGACUCUAGUGAGACUGCCUUCGUAAGGAGGAGGAAGGUGAGGACGACGUCAAGUCAUCAUGGCCCUUACGGCUAGGGCAACACACGUGCUACAAUGGCCAGGACAAUGAGAAGCGAUACCGCGAGGUGGAGCAAAUCUAUAAACCUGGUCUCAGUUCGGAUUGUAGUCUGCAACUCGACUACAUGAAGCUGGAAUCACUAGUAAUCGUAGAUCAGCUAUGCUACGGUGAAUACGUUCCCGGGUCUUGUACUCACCGCCCGUCACACCAUGGGAG
rnacentral:rRNA from 1 species